UGGCUCUGGUGCACUUUCCCUUUUGUACAA
rnacentral:piRNA from 1 species